GGUGGGGUUCCCGAGCGGCCAAAGGGAGCAGACUGUAAAUCUGCCGUCAUCGACUUCGAAGGUUCGAAUCCUUCCCCCACCACCC
rnacentral:tRNA from 1 species